rnacentral:misc_RNA from 1 species
UAUAAAAUAUUGACCUGUGAAAGCUCCUCGCCACCUUCUCCGUCAGCACAAUAUUCCACUGCCCAAACCAUCAAAGGAAAACAACUUUUCUCUCUCUCUCUCUGUGGCUGUGCCGGCCAAUUCAAGAAUGUCAGAAACAAGAGCGCCGCUGCCAUGGCUGUUCCGGCGGCGAUCAAGCAGCGAAAUGAUGAAAAAUUUAGCCUCAGUUUCAAGCAGCCUUUUGCCAGCUUUUGGAACCGUUGUUGACGAAGGACACUUGCAGCUAAGGAAAGGCGUCAUCGCUCCAUAUGAUCGUCGAUACAGGUGGUGGCAGACGUUCCUUGUAGUAUUGGUAAUAUACUCCGCAUGGGCGUCUCCGUUUGAGCUAGCUUUCAAGAAAGCGGCCACCGGUGGUGCUUUUAUGGCCGUCGAUUUGGUGGUUGAUGCCUUUUUCGCUGCUGACAUUUUCCUCACUUUCUUUGUGGCUUACUUGGACAAAUCUAGCUAUCUUCUUGUUGAUGAUCACAAGAAAAUUGCACUCAGGUAUAUCACAAGCUUAUGGUUGCCCAUGGACGUAGCCUCAACCCUUCCAUUUCAACUCAUAUACAGGAUUUUCACUGGCAAAAUGAGUGAAGCUGACGUCUUUGGGAUUCUCAACCUGCUUCGUCUCUGGCGACUUAGGCGGGUUAGCGAACUCUUUGAAAGGUUAGAGAAAGACACACGUUUCAGCUACUUUUUUACAAGACUCUUUAAACUAGUUAGUGUUACACUAUUUGCAGUGCACUCAGCAGGAUGCUUCUACUUCUGGCUGGCUGCCCAUCAUAAAAAUCCAGAAAAUACAUGGAUUGGAGUUCAGGUCCAUGAUUUCAAACACAGAAGCAUAUGGCUAGGUUACAUCUAUUCCAUUUACUGGUCAAUUGUCACCCUCACCACUGUUGGCUAUGGAGACUUGCAUGCAGUCAAUACAGGAGAGAAGAUUUUCAAUAUGUUUUAUAUGCUAUUCAACAUUGGUCUCACUGCUUAUAUAAUUGGAAACAUGACAAAUCUCAUUGUCCACAGUGCAUUUCGAACUUUAGUCAUGGUAAAUUCCAUCUAUUUCACUCGACUGCUAUUACCCUGCAAUUCGAAUUAGCAUCACAUCUCAUCUACCUCUCAAUCCAACAGCUCGAACAUACUAAAUGGACCAUAACUAGAAAAUGUUGUUCUUAAUUAUUGAUGUUUACUGUGGAUAAUGGUUUGACAGAGGGAUACCAUCAAUGAGAUAUUAAGAUAUGCAAGCAAGAAUAGACUCCCAGAAGGCUUGAAAGAUCAAAUGCUGGCACACAUGCAACUAAAAUUCAAGACAGCAGAGUUACAGCAAGAAGAAGUGUUAGAGGACCUACCAAAAGCUAUAAGAUCCAGCAUUGCGCAGCAUCUUUUCCGUAGCACUGUUGAAAACAGCUAUCUAUUCAAACGAGUCUCCGAAGACCUCAUUACCCAACUGAUAUCAGAGAUGAAAGCAGAAUACUAUCCACCCAAGGUGGAAAUCAUUUUGCAAAAUGAGAUUCCAACAGAUUUCUACAUUUUGGUGUCUGGAGAAGUGGAUGUGCUGACGCACAAGAAUGGAACACAGCAGUUUUUGUCAAAACUAGGGGCUGCAGAUAUGGCAGGAGAAAUAGGAGUUAUUUUCAAUAUCCCACAACCUUUUACAGUUAGGACCAAGAGGCUUUCCCAGGUCAUCAGGAUGAGUCAUCACCAUUUCAAGCAAAUGCUGCAGCCACAAAGUGAAGAAGGAAAAACAAUUAUCUCCAACUUUGUUCAGUACUUGAAGGGCUUAAAACAAGAGAUGCGAGAAGAAAUACCCUUCCUGAUGGAAUUGCUGGGUGACAUGAAUGCAGAGCACACUGCAACAAAUGAGGAGCUACAAAAUCCUGCAGCACUAAAUUCUCACAGAGAUGCAAGUGUAGAAGAAAGACCAGAACCUUCUAGUCCAAUAUCAAGCAAAUAUCGCAUAAGGGUGAUAAUCCAUGGGCAUCAUCCAAAUGAAAGUCUAGCAGAAGGUCAAAGCAACACAUUGGGAAAGCUCAUACACUUGCCUGAUUCAAUAGAAGAUCUUUUUAGAUUAGCAGAAAAGAAGUUUGGCAAACAAGGAAACACAAUUCUCAUGGAGGAUGGCUCACAAGUGGAAGACUUGGUUGCUUUAAGAGAGAAUGAUCACUUAUUUAUUUUCUGAAAAUUGAAAUAAUAUUUUUACUAAAUUUCAGCCUACAUUAUUUUUGUUCUAAGUGAUCAUUUUGCAAACUCAUUGAUCAAGUUUGAGUUGUCUAAUAUGAGACAAGGAGAAAUUAUGUACCUUGUGUAUUUGUUUUUUUUUUUUUUGGGUGUUAUUAAGGGUUUUGUAUUUUAAUUGGAAUUUUUGUUGCUGAAUUUAAAUCCUGGAAUAUAGAGGAUUUUGUGUACAUGAACAUAAUAUACGUUAUUGGAAAUAACUCUUAAUUAUUACUUUUAUGUCUCUUAUUUCAUUUGGGUUUCCUUUCUUGUUUGAAUUUCAUUGUUUUUUUGUCAUUUGGAACUGGAUAGGAAUUCUUUAUUUGAAGGAUGAAUUGGGUUUUCUGUUUUUCUUUCUUCAAUAUCAAAGUUUGUGGAUUUGAUUUGUGGUUUCUCAGAUUUGCAGUUCCUUAUUAUUAAUGUUUUGUAAUCAGGCAUUAUUAUGGUUCAUAAUUCAAUACAGAAUUUGCAUUAGUUUUGUUCUUUUUUCCUAUAUUUACCGCUAAUUUAGAGCUAAAAAAGGCUUUUUUUUUUAAUUAUUAUUAUUA